rnacentral:lncRNA from 1 species
UCUGAUCACAAUCAGUGUUUUAUUAACAGAAAGGAAAAUUAUAUAGAAAAAGACAGCAAGAGCCUGACAUCAUCUGCCUUUUGUGAAAAGCGAAGUAUAAGAUUUCUUUGUGCUCACUGUCAUAUACUUCAAAAAAUGGCCACAACCUGGAGAGUUAAUAAAAGAUAAACUAAAAAUCCAGAAGGAAGAGCCUGUGAAACUUGAAAGGCACCAACCAGAUUGGAUCAAAUAUAAAAUUAUAAAGAGACUUCAGUACAUUGAUAACUCAAAAUCCAAAUUAUAAAAGUCAGGGAAAACAGAUUGCAUAAAACUUUUAUUAUUUAUUAGCAGUGCAUUCUUCUACACUUUAAGAUAGAACAAAAUAUCUUUUGGAAGGUAAACUAUUUGUAACAAAAUACAUGUCAGCAAUUUUUAUUUCUGGAGUAGAAUUACUUUGCUAUAUACUUUCUAUAUUAUAUACAUAUACUUCUUGGUUUGUCUAAGUAUCUCCAUGUGUACAAAUAACUUUAAGACAUACACAUGUAGAUACAUGACUAAUAUACCACACAUAAUUAUGGAAAAUUUAUAGUAGUCAAUUUUACAAUCAUUUUAAUAGCUGCACACAAGUUAGUGUUCACAGAACAAAAACUGUCAAUAUGAUUCCCUUUUCCCCACUUCAAGCAUCAUCUGAAUUACUUUUCACUGAUAAUUUUUUAAAAAUACUAUCAUCUUUCUAUACAACUAACCAAUCUAUUUUUUACAGGAACUCAUAAUAAAAUAUUUUACUAUUUCAGCUUUAGAAAAGGUAGACAAUUUAAUUCCACUUCCUUUAAUUUUUGACUCCUAAGACCUACAAUUCAUUUUUUUCCGUCAGCUUAGUGCAAUUACUUGGUACUGCAGUUACUGAAGUUUAAGUAAUGAACCUGAGCCAAACAGUCAUUCAAAUGCCUUUUUGAAAUGUAAAACACGAACAAGAUGUUUUGUUGAAGCAUGUAUAACAGCCUCAAGGUACCCUCUCCUAAUAAAUAGAUUAUAAAUAACUCAGUGGUUGAGAGUGAAGCACUUCAUACGGAUCCAUUGACUGUGUGAGUAGUCCACUCUGACAAUCAGGCACUGAAGCCUCCAGGCUUCUCAGGGCUACACUAAGAUUACACUUCUCGCAAAAGGGCUGUGAGUACCUGCAAGGAGUCCCUUCGUUUUCACUGUCAGGUUUCUGAUAUGCUGGCUUGUGUGUUAGGUAUUUAUAAUCUGUUUCAAACACAUCUCCUUUGAUCCAGAGAACUACUUAGCAGCAUCUUUUUUCGGUUUUCUCUCUUCAUUGAUUUAAAAAACUGGUGCCAGACCAUAUGUGGUUACAGACAACAACCUCGUACCAAAAGCAGAAUGUCCUAACUGUGUUAAGGGCUCUUGUGAGAGGAGGAAAGAAAUAAAAGCAUGUGGAAUGUUGAGUCAUUGCAUAGAGCAAAACCGUGUUUUCAGCGCAUCAGGAGAAAGAUUCAAUGAAUUCGGAUCUCCAACUGGAUGUUAAAUUUCGUGAAAGCCCCACAAGGAUGCAAAACUAAAUGGCUCAGUGACAAAAACAAAGGGAAAGGAAAUGGUCUAACAAAGCCAUAUCAAAUGAUCGAUCGUCCUCCUCUUGCCACAGAUCAGCUUGGAAAAACUCAUUAUAUUAGAUUGACUUCUCAAAGGAAUGAACUGAUCUGCCAUAUUUAUAGUGGGAACAUAAAAAUCACUUUCCAAAAACUUUCUCCCUUACUUUCUGUUAAUAAAGAGGAAUUAUAUAUUCAUUGUAGACAAAGCCAUACUAAACAAAUUCAAAAUACAAAUUUUUGGUAGCAAACAACAAGAAAUCUAAGUCAAAAUAUAGUCUAGUUUUUACAUAAUUUUAUAUAUUUAUAAAUUUAUCAAAAUAGUCUUUUAAAGUUCACCAUACAUACAUAAUAAUGUAACACUGUACAUGUAAGUGUAAUAACAAAUGUAUUACCGAAAUACAUUAAAAAUAGUCUUUCAAAAUACCAAAUUCAACAUUACAACUGUCUUAAAAAGUGUGGACAUCGCCAUACACAUAGUUUCAGUGCAUUUGUAGUAGUCAUUAGCCAGAGUUUUCUGGUUUCAAGUCUCUUGAAGGUCUUAUGUUAGCGCUCUCCUGAAUUUAAGGUGAGAAGGCAGAAAGACUCCUCCGACAAGCAGCUGCUUUCUCUCUACAUUGCUCGUCCAGGUGAAGACACUGUGUGUAAGAGAGGGACGGCUUUCACCGGAGUGGCGGGGCCUUAGUAAUGAACAUAUUCAGACUGAAGGGACUGUGUGGGGAGAGACAUAAACCCGGGUUAAAGUCCAUCACAUACAAAACUGGUAACACAUCCUGCUGCUUCCUCCUUCCACACACAAGGCAGUUUGGGUCUAUUAUAUAAAAGAUAAAUGAAAUAAACUAAGAAGACAAUAGAAAGGGAUGAAGACAAUAGAAAGGGAUGAAAAGAAGCAUUUGCUAAAAAUAAGAUACUCAAUUAUGUGACAUGAUUGCAAGAAAACUGUAUUUUAAAAGGCUGAUGGUUUAUUCAAAGCAGUUAAAAAUUAAGUAUUAUUUGCAAAUUGGUAGGUGGCACCAAACUCACUUCUAAGCUUUAUGCAAUAAUCUUGAGUUUGAUUUCAAAAAUAUGAAAUGACAUUUGUAACUAAAUUGAAGUUUAUUAGAAUAUGCUUUAAAAUUAUACACUUUUUAAUUGAAUCCAAUGCAUAUCAAAUGUUAAUGUUUCUAAUGCAGUAGAAUUAGCAGUCAGUUAAAUAAAUUCCUUAUGAAGGCUUGAACUUAAUAAAUGGCUUACAAAUUCUUUCCAUUUAGGGGGAGAGCAUUACUAGCUUUGCAAUUGAAGCUUAAGACCCAAAAGCAUUUGUGCAGAAGAAUCUUGCAGUCAUAACAUAAGAAAUAGUGGACAGCUUUCAAGAAAAGUAAACACUGCAAAUCCCUCCCACGUCAUAUUAAAUAUCACAUGUAAAAGUAACAUGAUUGGGAUAUGUAAUCAAGAAUGCAUUAAUAAUAGAUAUUAACCAAGAAAAGAUAAAGAAAGGUCAAAAAAUUCCCAAAUACUUCUUUUUGAGCAAACAGCAGUAAAAAGAAGAAACACAAAUUAGUCUGAACAUUACCAAAUUCUUUUGCACAAUUCUUCUAAUCAAAUACCCUCCAACAACAGUUACUCUAUUUGCUGCUACAUGUCCUUUUCUCCUCCCCCAAUAUUUCUUUUUCAAAUUGACCUGCAGCAUGGUAUUAAUAGGUCUUCUCGAUUCUGAGACUAGUCCUUUUUGUUGAUGGUAGACAUUUCAGUAAAAACAAUCUCUCUGUUGUGCAAAUAAUCUACAAAAGGAUUCAAACUAUCUUUGUUCAGUUUCCAAUCCCAAUCCCAGUGAAUUUUAUAUCCUACGGACAGCCAUUUUCUAAGUAUCUAUCAACAUUGUGAGUCAAAAAGUUACCAGCCUGCCCUCAAAGGGUAAAAGCCCACGCUGUCAUACAAACAUAAAAUGAAAAGACAAAGGUGUCAGCAUUCAAUAAUGUGCAUAGGGUGAGAGUAGCACUGUAGAGAAGCAAAGCAUGAGGCAAAGAGUGGGAAGGGAAGGCUUGGGGAGGGGAGUGGUUCCUGAUGCUGCAAGUUUCAAGGAAGAAUAAAAAUCUUAAGAAGGAGAAUAGUAUUAGGAGGAAUGAGAAAAGUUGUCAAGUUGACUUUGUCACUACAGAAUGUGGUUUAUGCCACAGCUUCAGAACAGGGGAGAUGAUCAAGAAGGAACGCACUAGAAUACAAGCAUACCGGAGCUCACAGAGAGCCUAAGGGGUAAGACUGAGAAAGUCCAGCAAAACUGGUCUAAUGCCUCGAA